GUUCAGUCGUUCUGUAGCUCAGUUACCGGCAAGUAGUUUGACAUACGACAAUUUUGUGACCUUUACGAUUUAAAAAUAAAUUUUGUGUUUGGUUAAUUAACAUUUUAAAGUAAUAUUCAGCUGCAGCUGUUUGGAUAAGCUAGAUUCUUAGCAAAACUGAAUAAUGUCAGGAUGGGCAAAACGUAUUCAAAGAUUAAGAGCAGAUCAGAUGUUCAACAUGCUGAAUGUAGAUGUUACUGGUACAAAACGUAAAGCUCCCGACAGUGAUGACGAAAAGGAAAAUAGGGAAAAUGAAAAUCGUCACCUUGAAGAAGAGGAUGAUGAAUUUCAAAGCUCAUUGAUUGCGA
rnacentral:misc_RNA from 1 species